AUUGAACGCUGGCGGCAGGCUUAACACAUGCAAGUCGAGCGGAUGAAGGGAGCUUGCUCCUGGAUUCAGCGGCGGACGGGUGAGUAAUGCCUAGGAAUCUGCCUGGUAGUGGGGGAUAACGUCCGGAAACGGGCGCUAAUACCGCAUACGUCCUGAGGGAGAAAGUGGGGGAUCUUCGGACCUCACGCUAUCAGAUGAGCCUAGGUCGGAUUAGCUAGUUGGUGGGGUAAAGGCCUACCAAGGCGACGAUCCGUAACUGGUCUGAGAGGAUGAUCAGUCACACUGGAACUGAGACACGGUCCAGACUCCUACAGGAGGCAGCAGUGGGGAAUAUUGGACAAUGGGCGAAAGCCUGAUCCAGCCAUGCCGCGUGUGUGAAGAAGGUCUUCGGAUUGUAAAGCACUUUAAGUUGGGAGGAAGGGCAGUAAGUUAAUACCUUGCUGUUUUGACGUUACCAACAGAAUAAGCACCGGCUAACUUCGUG
rnacentral:rRNA from 1 species